rnacentral:rRNA from 2 species
GGGUGCGAUCAUACCAGCCUUAAUGCACUAGAACCCAUCAGAACUUUUCAGUCAAGCGUGCUUGGGCGAGAGUACUACUAGGAUGUGUGACAUCCUGGGAAGUCUUCGUGUUGCACCCU